GUGUCAGCAGCCGCGGUAACACCGGCGGCUCGAGUGGUAACCGUUAUUAUUGGGUCUAAAGGGUCUGUAGCCGGCCGGAUAAGUCUCUUGGGAAAUCCGGCAGCUCAACUGUCGGGCUUUCAGGAGAUACUGUCUGGCUCGAGGCCGGGAGAGGUGAGAGGUACUUCAGGGGUAGGGGUGAAAUCUUGUAAUCCUUGAAGGACCACCAGUGGCGAAGGCGUCUCACCAGAACGGACCUGACGGCAAGGGACGAAAGCUAGGGGCACGAACCGGAUUAGAUACCCGGGUAGUCCUAGCCGUAAACGAUACUCGCUAGGUGUCGGCCACGGUGCGACCGUGGUCGGUGCCGUAGGGAAGCCGUGAAGCGAGCCACCUGGGAAGUACGGCCGCAAGGCUGAAACUCAAAUGAAUUGGCGGGG
rnacentral:rRNA from 1 species